rnacentral:rRNA from 1 species
UACGGGGGGGGCUAGCGUUGUUCGGAAUUACUGGGCGUAAAGCGCACGUAGGCGGCUUUGUAAGUUAGAGGUGAAAGCCCGGAGCUCAACUCCGGAAUUGCCUUUAAGACUGCAUCGCUCGAAUCAUGGAGAGGUGAGUGGAAUUCCGAGUGUAGAGGUGAAAUUCGUAGAUAUUCGGAAGAACACCAGUGGCGAAGGCGACUCACUGGACAUGUAUUGACGCUGAGGUGCGAAAGCGUGGGGAGCAAACAGG